rnacentral:rRNA from 1 species
GUAGUCUCGCACAGAUGCAUAUCAAUAAGCGGAGGAAAAGAAACUAACAAGGAUUCCCCUAGUAACGGCGAGUGAAGCGGGAAGAGCUCAAAUUUGAAAUCUUAAAGGGUUUCCCUUACGAAUUGUAGUUUAAAGAAGUGUUUUCUGUUGAGGUUUUCGGUAAAAGUUCUUUGGAAUAGGACAUCAUAGAGGGUGAGAAUCCCGUAUUUGACCUUUACUUUCAACUUUGUGAUACACUUUCAAAGAGUCGGAUUGUUUGGGAAUGCAGUCCAAAAUGGGUGGUAAAUUUCAUCUAAAGCUAAAUAUUGGUGAGAGACCGAUAGCGAACAAGUACCGUGAGGGAAAGAUGAAAAGAACUUUGAAAAGAGAGUUAAACAGUACGUGAAAUUGUCAAAAGGGAAGCGUUUGACACCAGUGUUGUUUUUCUGAAAAUCAAUUAAAGAACUGUUUAUGCUAAGUUGUUUAGACUUUAUCAGCUAACUGUUUAGUUUUGAGCUUUUCUUUAAUGCACUUUUCAGUUAACAAGUCAACAUCAAUUUCUUUUGCUGUAAAAAAGCUUGAGGAAGGUGGCUUGAGAUUCGUCUUAAGUGUUUAUAGCCUCUUGCCUAUGCAGUCGGAGAGAUUGAGGUCUGCAGCGUAGAUCCUUCGGGGCUAAAUGCAUUUGUGCUAAGUUAUAGCAUUUCAUAGACAACUUGUUGACUAUGAUUUGUCUUGUAGCUUACUCGCUUAUGUUAUUUUACCUACGCUUAGGAUGUUGACAGCAGUAUAGACUGU